rnacentral:snRNA from 1 species
GUGAAGGAGAUUUGACUCCAGCAUCUGUCUCUUGAUUGAUUGCAGGGUUGGUUCAGCAUAUCUGACUAGCUAGGCAGGGGCCCCUUACUGCCUCACAUGCACAUCCUUCCCAAAGAUGCAUGCUUGGUUGAAGAGGACAGCCUUCCCUAAUAGAAGAGGACCUUUGUUUGUUUGUUUGUUUGUUUUUCUUCAAGGUUAUACGAGUGGCUGUACACCCCAGCUAGAACCUCCAAACAAGCUCUCAAGAGAUGUAGUCUAUUUCUUCACCAUGUGAACCAGGGUUUGGUUAUGUAACUUGCUUUGGUUAGCAGAAACAAAGAAAAAGUAACCCAAGGCUUGAUGAGUGCUU